rnacentral:rRNA from 1 species
AACAAACGCUGGCGGCGUGCCUAAUACAUGCAAGUCGAACGGGGUAGCAAUACCUAGUGGCGCACGGGUGAGUAACGCGUGGAUAAUCUGCCUUAGAGUGGGGGAUAACUAGUCGAAAGAUUAGCUAAUACCGCAUAAGACCACAAGAACUGCGGUUCAAGGGGUCAAAGGUUUUCCGCUCUAAGAUGAGUCCGCGUAAGAUUAGCUAGUUGGUGAGGUAAUGGCUCACCAAGGCGACGAUCUUUAACUGGUCUGAGAGGAUGAUCAGUCACACUGGAACUGAGACACGGUCCAGACUCCUACGGGAGGCAGCAGUAGGGAAUAUUGCACAACGGAGGAAACUCUGAUGCAGCGACGCCGCGUGAGUGAUGAAGGCCUUCGGGUCGUAAAGCUCUGUCGCAGGGGAAUAACACAAUGAAUGUACCCUGUAAGAAAGGAUCGGCUAACUUCGUGCCAGCAGCCGCGGUAAAAC